rnacentral:rRNA from 1 species
CAAGAGCGUAUAUUAAAGUUGUUGCAGUUAAAAGCUCGUAGUUGGAUUUCUGGUACAAUACGCCUGGCCCGCGGCAGUAAUGCUUGUGAGUGCCGGUGCGCGUUUGCCAUCCUUCUAGAAAACGUUUCUACCCUUUACUGGGCCGGACUCGCGAUCUAGAUCUUUUACUUUUGAAAAAUUAGAGUGUUCAAAGCAGGCUUUUGCUAGUGAAUACAUUAGCAUGGAAUAAUAAUCUAGGACUUCGGUUUUAUUUUGUUGGUUUCUAACACUGAAGUAAUGAUUGAUAGGGAUAGUUGGGGGUGCUAGUAUUGGCCGGCCAGAGGUGAAAUUCUUGGAUUUGUUAAAGACGGACUACUGCGAAAGCAUUUGCCAAGGAUGUUUUCAUUGAUCAAGAACGAAAGUUAGGGGAUC